rnacentral:rRNA from 1 species
UACGGGGGGGGCAAGCGUUGUUCGGAAUUACUGGGCGUAAAGCGUGCGCAGGCGGUUGGGUAAGACAGAUGGGAAAUCCCCGGGCUCAACCUGGGAACUGCAUUUGUGACUGCACGGCUGGAGUGCGGCAGAGGGGGAUGGAAUUCCGCGUGUAGCAGUGAAAUGCGUAGAUAUGCGGAGGAACACCGAUGGCGAAGGCAAUCCCCUGGGCCUGCACUGACGCUCAUGCACGAAAGCGUGGGGAGCAAACAGG